UACGGGGGGAGCAAGCGUUGUUCGGAUUUACUGGGCGUAAAGGGCGCGUAGGCGGCCACUGCAAGUCAGUUGUGAAAUCUCCGGGCUUAACUCAGAACGGCCAAGUGAUACUGCAGUGCUAGAGUGCAGAAGGGGCAAUCGGAAUUCUUGGUGUAGCGGUGAAAUGCGUAGAUAUCAAGAGGAACACCUGAGGUGAAGACGGGUUGCUGGGCUGACACUGACGCUGAUGCGCGAAAGCCAGGGGAGCAAACGGG
rnacentral:rRNA from 1 species